AAGACAACCAGAUAAAUAUAAAAUCUUCAUAAACUAACAUAAUAUUUAUAAAUUAACUGACACGAAAAUAUGUGACACAGAAUGUAGACAUAUUUUCUUAGAGGACAUGUAGACAUAUUUUCUUUAAAAUUGAAAUAAGUAAUUUCAAUUUUAAAAGAAUUGUCGUCGUAACAAAAAUAUUUAUUGUUAUUUAAAAAAUGACAUUUAUAGUGGCCUAUUUUUGUGCCUGGUAUAAAUUCUAUAGUACCAACUAAGAAAUAAUAAUUAUCCUUAAUGCUAAGAGUAAUCGGCAAUUCAGUGAGUAAAACUGAGUCUGCAGCUCCGUUUAAAUCAAAUGUUAUGAUCUCGCCUAGCUUAAGUUCACCUUUCAACUCUGUGUCACAUUUUUGACACAUUGUGUUAACACAAAGAAAUUUUAAUCUAUUUGUGACUUUGAUUUUUAUAAAGUAUGCACUCUCCCUAAAAAAAUAAGACGUGAAUAACGAAAAUUUCGAAUAUGUGAAAAUGCAUGGACACCCUACUCUCAUACAGUUUCAUACCACUGUGUUUUUGUAAAUAUCUCCUAAAAUACGAAUGCUGCAGUUAAAUUCGCAAUAUUUAUUCAAACUAGGUUACGUUACCCAUCGACUAGUACUUUAAUUAAGCUAAAACCUACUUUUAAUAACGAGAAAAACGAAAUUGUAUUUUAGGCAUAUUGCCGUCCGCGCGGCCAACUAAAAUCGACUCUAACAUAUUAUUGAACCUGCUUUCUAGUAUUUUUUUGUCUUUUUUCGCUGUAACAAAUUAAAGACUAAUUUUCUAUACA